UGCGGUUUUCAAAUGUGAACUCUAUUAACAUAGCAAUGUAGUUCAGAGUAGCAUUUAGUUGGGGACAUCAAAGAACAUCUAGCAUAUUAUUUUCUUGCUCUCUACUAGCAGGGCAGUUUCCAUAUUUUUUGCCUUUUUAAAGGAAUGCUAAAAUUUCUCUUCAGUGUCAUUCCUGAAGAUAAUCUUUAUAGUUUUCAGUAGUUUAAACUAGUUUGAAUUAUAGCAAAGAGUUUAUUUUGCUAUAUUACUAAACUUGUAAGUGUUAACAGUAAGCCUGUCUAUAAGAACAUUUUCUUCUAAUUGAAUUCCCAUGUCACAUUACUUAAAUAUAUAUUUAGGUCAUUAUUCUAAUUUGUAUGGUUGCUUUUUUCUUGUACAUCAGAAUCCUGACCAUAUUCCAAGUUAUUUUCUACAGGUUGUUCUACAUUGCUUUUUUCUAAACUCUUUAUAAUACGUGCAAUAUUCAAUCAGUUUUUCAUCAGUAGUAGUAAGUUUAAAUGCUGUUUUUAGUAAGUGAGGAUCAAUCUUAAAAUGUGUACAGUUACAAAUGUUUACAAAUGUUUAAAUCAUACAUAGGCAUUCUAACACGGGAAACAGUUGCAAUGGAAAUCAAGACUAUCUCCUUGGACUUUAUUUUACUCCUGCAGAGAGAAGGGAUAUAGCAAAAAGUGAACAUUUUUUCAAUUGCUAAGGAUAAAUACUAGUUCCACUGCAUCCAAAAUGUGUUGUUUCAUUUUGACAAAGUUAAGAAUAAAUUCCAGGAAUUUUCUACUCCUUCUUUGGCCUAGGUUUUGGAAGGGGAAGGCAAAGGAGGACCAAAAUAGCAAGGUAUUCAUUGUUGAAUGAAGAUGAAAUACAAAAUUCUCCAAAACCAUUGGAAAGAUCAGAAGUAUCUCAGAAGAAUUUAUACCCAAACCACCACUCAUCGUCAGCUCCUGCUCAGUACUAACAAGGAUUUUCCUUCCUGCCUUCCUUCAAACCAAUAGAACAAAAUGUUUAUUCCAGAAAAUCAGUUCAGAGAAUAUUAUUCUGCAUAGGACUUCUUUUCACAGGUGCACAGAACUCCCCGAUCAAGUCAGCCUCUUAACAUAGUUAAAUUAUUCUUUGUGAUUUCUUUAGACUAAAUUUUUAUUGUUGUUGUUGUUUGUUUGCCAUGAUAACAGAAGUGGAAAAGUGUAAUGCUUUAAUAAGCUAAAAUCUGUCACAAGAAUUAAUAAAAAUAGGGGCCUGUUUUGAAUAUUCUACUCA
rnacentral:lncRNA from 1 species